rnacentral:rRNA from 1 species
AUUGAACGCUGGCGGCAGGCCUAACACAUGCAAGUCGAGCGGAGCGGCGGACGGGGGAGUAAUGCCUAGGAAUCUGCAUGGUAGUGGGGGAUAACGUCCGGUAACGGGCGCUAAUACCGAUUACUAUCAGAUUAGCAUAGGUCGGUUUAGCUAGUUGGGGGGGUAAAGGCAUACCAAGGCGACGAUCCGUAACUGGUCUGAGAGUAUGAUCAGUCACACUGGAACUGAGACACGGCCCAGACUCCUACGGGAGGCAGCAGUGGGGAAUAUUGGACAAUGGGCGAAAGCCUGAUCCAGCCAUGCCGCGUGUGUGAAGAAGGUCUUCGGAUUGUAAAGCACUUUAAGUUGAGAGGCGUUACCAACAGAAUAAGCACCGGCUAACUUCGUGCCAGCAGCCGCGGUAAUUC